UAGGGAAUCUUCGGCAAUGGGGGGAACCCUGACCGAGCAACGCCGCGUGAGUGAAGAAGGUUUUCGGAUCGUAAAGCUCUGUUGUUAAGGAAGAACGAGUGUGAGAAUGGAAAGUUCAUACUGUGACGGUACUUAACCAGAAAGGGACGGCUAACUACGUGCCAGCAGCCGCGGUAAUACGUAGGUCCCGAGCGUUGUCCGGAUUAAUUGGGCGUAAAGCGAGCGCAGGCGGUUAGAUAAGUCUGAAGUUAAAGGCAGUGGCUCAACCGUUGUAGGCUUUGGAAACUGUUUAACUUGAGUGCAGAAGGGGAGAGUGGAAUUCCAUGUGUAGCGGUGAGAUGCGUAGUUAUAUAGAGGAACACCGGUGGCGAAGGCUGCUCUCUGGUCUGUAACUGUCGCUGAGGCUCGAAAGCGUGGGGAGCGAACAGG
rnacentral:rRNA from 1 species